AAUUCAGGGGUUGGAGGUCUGAAUUGCUAUUCAAAACCACCCGUAAUAAACAUUUUUCCUUUUUUGGACCAAAAUAGCCUGCCUCUCUUCUUCAUCGUUUUCACUUCUUCUCAGAUUUCUUCUUCAUCCCCAAAGUGAACCCUAGAAAAUUAGCUCCUUAAUCGACGACAAAUCAAGCAUCCUUUCGUCAUCUUCCUUCUCACUGAACCAAAUUUAUUUACACUAAAGAAGUGGUUGAAGGUAGCAACAAGAAAGGGAAAAAUAUCACUCAAGGGUGUGCUAAGGUAGCAACAAGACAAUAUAUACAUAUUAAACUACAUUUACAAAUCGGAUUUGAUCUUUUUACUUUAAACAAGAACAUUUUGGUUAUAUUUAAUUUUUGAUAUGUUUUUAUUUUUGAUAUGUUUCAUUUAAAACUAUUUUAAUCUUUUAAUAUAUUUUAAACUAUUUUUAUUUUCGAUAUCUUUAAUUUAUUUUAUAUUUAAUUUUGGUCUUCAAACUAUGUUUUAUAUUACUUAUAUUGUUUGAUUAAAAUUAUAAUUAGUAUUACAAAAUUCUCUCAACAAACGAAACAAAAAAGAAAGAACAUAAAAUGCUACAAACAAAUCAAGUUAUGGUAAGAAUAUAAUGUAUAUGGAGUUUUAGAUUUUAUUUAAAUACAAAUAAUAAUCGAAUAUUUUAAAAUAAAUAAUUUUAAGAUAUUUAACACACUAUAUACCUAUAAUCGAAUUGAGUUAAUACAAAAUAAAAGAAAUUAAGACCUUAUUUUCUUUCCUCAUAAAAACUAUUAAAUUCAUAUUAUUUUUGCCUUUUACUAAUUUUAACUAUUCAAACAAAAUAAUAUAUAUUUUCUAUUCACAAUUAUUAAUUCAAAUAAAACAUUAGUUAAUUACAAUGUGAGGAUGAAUACAAACGUUUUAGAAGGUAAAUUAAAGAUCGAAUAUUUUAAAAUUUUCAUAUAAUAUAUGUAUAUUUCAGAGAACUGGAAACUAUGUUAUUUGGAUGUGGAUGUGUUAAAUGAGUUUUUUCUUUUCUUUUUUGGGUGAUUGAUAAAGAAAUGAAUUUCAAGUUUUUUACUUGCAAAGAUAGUUGCAAAUUCUAUUUUGUGCUUUGUAAAGAUUCUUAAUAUGUAUUGUUCAUUUUCUUUGAUAGUGUGUUAUUGCUUCCUCUUCUUCUUUGACUUGUUUGAUUGUUUCCUCCACCUACAGUUGAGCGUCUUGUAUUCACUGAAUCACUGUAAGUUUUUUGGUAAUUAAAUUCUUUUAUUUUAUUUUACUGUUAUUGAAAUUAGUAUUGGAGAAAUGUGACUCUUUUACUACGAUUUGAAGACAUGUAACACUUUAAUAUCUUGCAGUAAUGGCUCAUCUGCCUUUAAUAGUACAAAGUGUGAGGCGUAAAAGAAUUGGUGUUGCAUUGACAAUAUGGUUGCAAAUGUGUACAGUUGUGAGUUGGUUCUUACUUACAUUGGGUGCCAUCCAUAGCCUACAUACUUAUAGACCAAGGAUUAGAUCCUAUAUUUUAGAUUUUUAUGCAAAACGAGAUUAUGUGAAAAGACUUGUAUAUACUAGUGACGAGACCUGUAUUGAACAAGUUAGGAUGAAUAGAAUUGCCUUUUUUAAACUAUGUGAGAUGUUACAAACUUUAGGGGGAUUGAAGUCGUCAAGGAACAUGCAUUUUGAUGAGCAAGUGGCAAUGUUUUUAUAUAUCAUUUCCCAUCACCUUAAAAAUUGAGUUAUCAAGCAUCACUUUAAUAGGUCCGGGGAAACUGUUAGCAGAUCAUUCACAAUGUUUUCAAUGAUGUCAUACGCUAACAAUAUGUGUUAUUUAAAAAGGCAGAGCCAAUUACAGCUAAUUCUACAGACCCAAGGUGGAAAUGGUUCAAGGUAUUGGAAAUUGCUUAGGUGCUUUAGAUGGAAUCCACAUCAAGAUUAUGGUUCCAACAGUUGAUAAACCUAGAUAUCGAACGUGAAAAUGUGACAUAGCAACAAAUAUGUUAGGUGUUUGUACACCUGAUAUGCAUUUUGUUUAUGUUCUUCUUGGUUGGGAAGGUUCUGUUGCUGAUGGAUGGGUUCUUCGAGAUGCCAUUAGUAGGAGACAUGGACUAAACGUUCCUCAUGGUUAUUAUUUAGUUUAUGCUGGAUACACAAAUUGUGAGGGAUUUCUUGCACCUUUUAGAGGACAAAGAUAUCAUUUGAAUGAGUGGCGUCAGGGUUACCAGCCAAGUACUCCGGAAGAAUUUUUCAAUAUGAAAUAUGCUUCAGCACGUAAUGUUAUUGAAAGAUGCUUUGGGUUAUUAAAACUUAGAUGGGGAAUACUUAGGAGUCCAUCAUUCUAUCUUGUGAGGGUGCACAAUAGAAUCACUAUUGCAUGUUGUUUGCUCCAUAAUUUUAUUCGAACCUAUAUGAGUCUUGAUCCUAUUGAAGCGGAGUUGGGAGAAGGAUUACCUAGUAAUGUGAUAGAUGACGAAGAACCGAAUAUCGUAAAUAUUCAUCCAUCGGAUACAUGGGCUACUUGGAAGAUGGAACUAGCCAACCAAAUGUUCGAUGAAUGGCAAGCAUCUAGAAAUUAGUUAGGUUUAGGGUAAAAAUAGUAAACGUUAAUUUGUUUAUGUUUUUUCAUGUAUCUAGUUUAUGAAACUUUGGUGGUGUUUGAAUUGUUUUUUGUAUUGUACUAGACUUGUUGAAUUAUAAUUUAUUUUCUUUUGAUUCA